AUGAUUAAGGCGAUAGAGAAAUUAAAUUUUGUGUGCCAUUUAAUAAUUUAAUGCGUAGUUUAUUGAAGUAAAUUAUAUAUUUACAAUGAGAUCGAUGUCAGCAGCAACGACUGAGAUUUAAUAAAGGAAUAAGGAGGGCGUAGUUGAGCUUCCGAUACGACAUUUAUUGCCUUAAGCACUCGCGUUUAAUUUUCGUAUCGGCCCUCUUUCAGUCAUAAGAGUAAGGGAUGAAGUACAAUGGGGCUGUGAUAUACAGCCUCACCUAGUCCGAAAAACGGGAGCCCAUUAACAGAGAGUGAAGGUUAUAUUUUCCCUUCUAUUUCUUCCACCGUCAACCGGAGACUUCCAUAAUCUCAAUUGGAACAGUUUUGAAAUUUAUGCCACAUUCAAAACGAUUUUCGCAGCGACUCAAUCGAGCCGACAACUGUUAUGGCCCCAAUAGCGCCCACCCAAAGUUGGCAAGCGUGUCGCUUAAAGUUAUGUUCUAUACUAUGUCGACAAGUAGGAUGGAGUGGCGACGAUUUCUGUGGAAUUUUUUUUUUCUUUCUCUCUCUCUCUCUCUCUCUUUUCUUUUCUUU
rnacentral:lncRNA from 1 species